rnacentral:tRNA from 1 species
GCCUGGGUGGCUCAGUUGGUUAAGUGUCCGACUUCAGCUCAGGUCACGAUCUCGCAGUCCGUGGGUUCGAGCCCCACUUCGGGCU